rnacentral:misc_RNA from 1 species
AACGGUCUAUACCUGCGGUACCUGCGGAGGGAUCAUUACCGAGUUUACAACUCCCAAACCCAUGUGAACAUACCUAUCGUUGCUUCGGCGGGAUCGCCCCGGGCGCCUUGUGUGCCCCGGAUCCAGGCACCCGCCGGGGGACCUUAACUCUUGUUUUAUUUAGAAUCUUCUGAGUAGUUUUUACAAAUAAAUAAAAACUUUCAACAACGGAUCUCU